rnacentral:lncRNA from 1 species
UUCCCUUAGAACCCAAGAGCAUCUGCCUGGGGCAUGAAAAGAUGUGUCAACACAUGCCAUACUCGCACUGUUCUGCAGAACAUCACUAUUCUGCAUAAGAAAUUUAACUUUCCGGAGCCUCCAGAAAGGAGGCUUACCUUAGGGGAUCUUUAUCUUGGUUGCCAGUUUGAUGGGAUCUUGGAUCAAUCAAGAGAUGUGCUUCAACACUACUCUUCGAGGAGAUGCUACCCAGAAGGGAGAGCAGUACCAGCCCAGAUGUAGAGGUUGAGGGAAAAAUAUUGAUGCUUUUGCCUGCCUGCCGUUGGUCCUUGCUGGAAUCCCCUGAGCCUUUAGAAGCAGGCUGGGACCCGCUGCUGUGACAUUCAGCCUUGUGAACUGAACGGAUCCCACAUUCGGAGCCUCUCCAGUGCUCACACAACCACUCGGGACUACACAGACCUAUUGUGCAAGCCGUGUAAUAAAUCCCAACUUGUCAUGGUGUAUCCAGGACUUGCUACAGUGGGAGAAUUGGGAUCUGAGGAUGCCAGGUAACCAUGUUUUCUGUUGCUUAUGUUCUUACACUUGCUUUAUGCCAUCUGAUUAUCUCUAGUGCUACCUGACUUCACUAUAUCUGGCUGGAACCUGUCCUUCCUAUAAUCCUGGUUGUGUCAGAGCUCCUAAAUUUCAGCUGUCUCUGGGAUCCUGGGAUCCUGAGAUCCUGGGUGUGUCCUAGCUCCUGGGAGUCAAGCUGCCUCUGCGACCCUGAGAUCCUGGUGUAACCAAGCUUCUGGGUCCUAUGAUGCUGUGGUCCUGGGCAUGUUAGAGUGCCUGGGAAAGGCGCUUCUUCUGGGUGUUGUGGGA